GAUGAACGCUGACAGAAUGCUUAACACAUGCAAGUCAACUUGAAUUUGGGUUUUUAACUUCGGUUUGGGUGGCGGACGGGUGAGUAACGCGUAAAGAACUUGCCUCACAGCUAGGGACAACAUUUGGAAACGAAUGCUAAUACCUAAUAUUAUGAUAAUAGGGCAUCCUAUAAUUAUGAAAGCUAUAAGCGCUGUGAGAGAGCUUUGCGUCCCAUUAGCUAGUUGGAGAGGUAACGGCUCGCCAAGGCGAUGAUGGGUAGCCGGCCUGAGAGGGUGAUCGGCCACAAGGGGACUGAGACACGGCCCUUACUCCUACGGGAGGCAGCAGUGGGGAAUAUUGGACAAUGGACCAAGAGUCUGAUCCAGCAAUUCUGUGUGCACGAUGAAGUUUUUCGGAAUGUAAAGUGCUUUCAGUUGGGAAGAAAGAAAUGACGGUACCAACAGAAGAAGUGACGGCUAAAUACGUG
rnacentral:rRNA from 1 species